CGAGUCGAACGGGAAAAUUUUAUUGAAGCUUCGGCAGAUUUAGCUUGUUUCUAGUGUCGGACGGGUGAGUAACGCGUGGGUAACCUGCCUUAUACUGGGGGAUAACAGCCAGAAAUGACUGCUAAUACCGCAUAAGCGCACAGAACCGCAUGGUUCCGUGUGAAAAACUCCGGUGGUAUAAGAUGGACCCGCGUUGGAUUAGCUAGUUGGCAGGGCAGCGGCCUACCAAGCCGACGAUCAGUAGCCGGCCUGAGAGGGUGAACGGCCACAUUGGGACUGAGACACGGCCCAGACUCCUACGGGAGGCAGCAGUGGGGAAUAUUGCACAAUGGGGGAAACCCUGAUGCAGCGACGCCGCGUGAAGGAAGAAGUAUCUCGGUAUGUAAACUUCUAUCAGCAGGGAAGAAAGUGACGGUACCUGACUAAGAAGCCCCGGCUAAUUACGUGCCAGCAGCCGCGGUAAUACGUAAGGGGCAAGCGUUAUCCGGAUUUACUGGGUGUAAAGGGAGCGUAGACGGUUUGGCAAGUCUGAUGUGAAAGGCAUGGGCUCAACCUGUGGACUGCAUUGGAAACUGUCAGACUUGAGUGCCGGAGAGGCAAGCGGAAUUCCUAGUGUAGCGGUGAAAUGCGUAGAUAUUAGGAGGAACACCAGUGGCGAAGGCGGCCUGCUGGACGGUAACUGACGUUGAGGCUCGAAAGCGUGNGGAGCAAACAGGAUUAGAUACCCUNGUAGUCCACGCUGUAAACGAUGAAUACUA
rnacentral:rRNA from 1 species